rnacentral:rRNA from 1 species
UACGGAGGGGGCUAGCGUUGUUCGGAAUUACUGGGCGUAAAGCGCACGUAGGCGGCUUUGCAAGUCAGAGGUGAAAGCCCGGGGCUCAACCCCGGAAUAGCCUUUGAGACUGCAUCGCUAGAAUUGUGGAGAGGUAAGUGGAAUUCCGAGUGUAGAGGUGAAAUUCGUAGAUAUUCGGAAGAACACCAGUGGCGAAGGCGACUUACUGGACACAUAUCGACGCUGAGGUGCGAAAGCGUGGGGAGCAAACAGG